rnacentral:misc_RNA from 1 species
CUUGUUCUUGUGUAGCUUCUCGUGCUAUUUGGUCCUGUAAAGAGACACGAGUGAUUUGGAGAGAUGUUCUUGAUUGAAGCUGGAAAGAGGUAAGUCCAGAAGAAAAGUUGAAGUAUCUUGGUUUAGGAUCUCUAGAAGACAAGAUAGAGUUGCAGAGAGGUUGAUAGAGAGAGGAUGGAGAAAAGCAGAGAUUAUAUGCCAUCUCUCUCCCGGUUCGGCGUCC